rnacentral:lncRNA from 1 species
UUCACCUUGGCAAAGCUUCCUAUACAAACCUGUGAUCAUAUGCCUUUGUUUUCUCACUUCAGGUACAAGAGAGGUGAGCACAAGAUGGGCCAAAUAUGAGAUGUGGAAUCAGGAAAAACAGAAAAAGUGGAAGAAAUGGCAAACGUGGACGUGAGAGCAGCUGGGUUUUCUAGCUCUGGGCGUCUGCAGGAAUCAUGUUCCAGGAAGGGCUGGGAGAGGCUGCGGGGAAAAGGAAGGGGUGCAGGGGAGUGUGCCCCACCCUUGCCCUGUGCCUGCAGGUGGGCCGGACUUGGACCCUGCCUGGAUGAUCUGCGAAGAAAUAGGGUUCCAAAAGGGCAGAUCCCAAGACAAUGCCUUAUAAAGGUCCUGGCUAACGUUUCCAUGGCAGCUUGCUGAGUGGCCGAGCUGAUCUCAGCCCUUCCAGGGGUGACUCAUUGACUCCUCCCAAGCUGGAGAGGUGAGAGUUCUUUUCCGGUUUACAUAUCAGGAAGCUGAGGCAUGGAAAGGUAGCUGGAGACCACCCUGGCUGAGCUGUGAUCAGUCGCAUCUAGACUAGUUUGGUGUUUCAGAGCAAGUCUCUCAAAUGCCCUGUGCCUCAAUGCUCUCAUCUGCACGUUGGAAGAAAGAAUUCCUGCUUCCCAGAGCCGUUGGGAGGAGUAACAGAGGUGAAGUGUGUAAAGUACACACGAAAGGAACUCAGCUGACAGCAGCAUCUUCACUGGUACCCUUAUCGUUGUUUUAAUUAUUGCAUUGUCGUCCAAGCUGAUGGACUGAGGGGGGUCAUUCCAGUGGACACGGGGGAGCUGAGCUGUGAGGGUCCUGGAUUGCGUGGGGCCAUGUCUGACCUGCAGAUGCUGCAGAGUUUGGGUCGAGUUACACGUGGAAUUGGGGAAUCCCCACUGAAGGGCGCUCUCUGGCCUUUUAGUGGCCACGGUUUGCAAUUUCUUGAGCCAGGGUCACCCUGAACAUUCAUUUCAAGAAACAGGCUGAUUUCACGUAGCUUCUUUCUGACUAAUAAAUUCAAACCAUCCUUCUCCUGAAUCCACCUCAGCCUGGGCCUGAGCAACACGUGGCAUGCUGGGUUUGCUCUGAGCACCUGCUCUGGAGACCCAGAGCCUUUGUUGACCUUCUGCUGGUCAAUGGAAGCCCUGCAGUGGAGGCUCCAGGGAGUGUGCACACCGCGCCUUCACCAGCGCUGGGACCCCAGACCCAAAACUCUGAGGGAAUUCCAGCUUGCAUGAGGUUGGGGCACUCAGGAGACAGACCUCCUGGGCUCCAGGGGCUUUGCAGGCUGCUGGCCAGUGGAAGACCAGCUGCGACCCACUCUCUGCCAGGCUGGGGCUGCACAGAUGCCCAAGGACAGGGCUUCAUGCCUCACACAACUUUCUGAUUAAAAGGCAAUCAAUUAAAAUAAAUCCCUUCGUUUCUAGGGAAGCCCCAUCACACAGGCAUCAUCUGGGCUUGCGUUCUGACAUCAGGGGAAGCUGUGAAAUCACACAGCAAUAAAUAAUAAAGGCUUGAGAUUAAAGUGCUGAUCCUUAUUCCCAAAUUGAUUUUAAAUAUAAUGAGGGUUAUUAUUUAUACAAUGAUCCAGUAAAACUUAAAGUUCAUUAAAUGUCUCUCUGAGUCUUUGAUUAUUUUUUAACUGAUUUGGCCAAUAUCUGUAAGUGUUUUCUAUUAUCCAAACCAUAUUUAUACCUAUAUAUCUAUGUCUAUAUCUAUAUCUAUCUAUGUAUAUCCCAUACAAAUA